rnacentral:rRNA from 1 species
UACGGAGGGUGCGAGCGUUGUUCGGAAUCACUGGGCGUAAAGGGCGUGUAGGCGGUCCGCUAAGUCUGAUGUGAAAGCCCGGGGCUCACCCCCGGAAGUGCAUUGGAAACUGGCGGACUCGAGUCCCGGAGAGGAGAGUGGAAUUCCUGGUGUAGCGGUGAAAUGCGUAGAGAUGUGGAGGAACACCGAUGGCGAAGGCAGCCCCCUGGGUCAAGAUUGACGCUCAUGCACGAAAGCGUGGGGAGCAAACAGG